rnacentral:rRNA from 1 species
GUCAAUGGCCAUGCUACCCUGAACAAGCCCGAUCCUGACUGAUCUUGGACGCUAAGUAGGGUUGGGCCUGGUUUGCACUUGGAUGGGAGACCACCUAGGAAGACCAAGUGCUGUAGUGA